CUCCUUCUUUGUAUUUUCUGACAUUAAAUCUAUCUGUGUUUUCUUGCUUAUUAUCUAAAGGACAGAGUGUCUUUAAGUUUUUUUUUUGGGCUAAAAUCGAAGUUGGGUGUGUUGAAAACUGUUGGGUUUAUAAUUUAUUUGAAGGUUAAGUGUUGGGAAUCUCUAUUUCGGCCAAAAUCUGAUGAAAAUGGAAAUUCGACCUUUGUUUGUGCUAAAUCUUGUAGGAUAAUAUUAUUUGGUGGUUAAAGUUUGUUUUAAUUCGUUGCAUGUCGAGAAAAAGCUUGAAGAACUCAACAUUCUUUAUAUUCUGUGAUUUGAAAUCAGUGUUAGUGAACUGGGUUUCUUACUCGAUUUUUUUUGUUUCAGUUUGUCAUUUUUUUUAACUAAAAGGUGAAUGAUAUUUUCUGUUUCAAUAAGUUAUUUCAGCUUGUUCUUCUCUCUUAGCAGCAUUUCUCAUUAGCAAAAUGUAUCGUUUUGUAGCAAAUCUUGCUUCCAAAGACAGGUAAUAUUCACAUUUUAUAACUUGGAUUUUUCUGUUAGAAAAAUGUAUUCUUUAUUACUUUUAAGAAAUACCCAUUUUCUUGUUUUUCUUUUUUGUGUUAGAAAAAUGUAAUCUUUAUUACUUUUAACAAAUACCCAUUUUCUUGUUUUGUACAGAGUGGCAAGAACCAACACCCAACAAAUUGGUGGAAGGUUAAAUUGGAGUAGAAGUUAUGCUGCAAAGGAUAUUAGAUUUGGUGUUGAAGCUCAAGCUGCAAUGCUUCAAGGUAUUGAAGAACUUGCUGAUGUUGUUAAAGUCACUAUGGGUCCAAA